UGAAGCAACACCCUAGAUGGAUGUACAGCCAUCAAGAGGAUCUUAAAGUGUGGUCUUUAGUGGAAAAAAAGGCUGGAGUGCAAUGGCAUGGUAUCGGCUCACUGCAACCUCUGUCUCCUGGGUUCAAGCGAUUUUCCUGCCUCAGCCUCCCAAGUAGCUGGGAUUACAGGCGUGCGUCAUCACACCUAGCUAAUUUGUCCCAUAGAAUCUCAUCUUCUGGAUUUCGUGGCUAUUUUUUCAUGGUGUUGAUUCAUUCAUAAGGUAAAAUUUAUAUACAGUGAAAUGCAUCUUAUGGGUACAAUUCAAUGUUUUGAAAAGUGUGCACAUCCAUGUAACCACCACCCAGAUUAAGACACAGAACAUUCCCGUCACCUCAGAAUGUUUCCCGGUGCCUUCUUCCUACCCCUCAUACAGUAACAUUGUAAUAAUUUCUAUUGCCACAUAUAUGUUUACCUGUUCUGAAACUUCACAGAAAUGGAAUUAUAUAUUAUGUAUUUGUUUGUUACUGGCUUUUUAUCAUUUAAUUUUUUUUAUUCAUCCACACCCACUGCAUGUGUCAGUAUUUCAUUCCUUCUUGUUAUUGUGUAGUAUAUGAAUAUAUAUAUAUAUCACAAUUUAUUUUUGCAA
rnacentral:antisense_RNA from 1 species